GACGAACGCUGGCGGCGUGCUUAACACAUGCAAGUCGAACGGAAAGGCCCCCUUGUGGGGUACUCGAGUGGCUAACGGGUGAGUAACACGUGAGUAACCUACCCUUGACUUUGGGAUAACUUCAGGAAACUGGGGCUAAUACCGGAUAGGAGCUCCUGCUGCAUGGUGGGGGUUGGAAAGUUUCGGCGGUUGGGGAUGGACUCGCGGCUUAUCAGCUUGUUGGUGGGGUAGUGGCUCACCAAGGCUUUGACGGGUAGCCGGCCUGAGAGGGUGACCGGCCACAUUGGGACUGAGAUACGGCCCAGACUCCUACGGGAGGCAGCAGUGGGGAAUAUUGCACAAUGGGCGGAAGCCUGAUGCAGCAACGCCGCGUGCGGGAUGACGGCCUUCGGGUUGUAAACCGCUUUCGCCUGUGACGAAGCGUGAGUGACGGUAAUGGGUAAAGAAGCACCGGCUAACUACGUG
rnacentral:rRNA from 1 species